UAGAACUUUAGAGAUGAUCUAGGCCUUCUUUCUUCUUCCCAUUCACUUACAUUUCUUUCCAUUGUACCCUCAUUUGGGCCGUAGCCUUUUCUUUGCUUUCCAUCCAUUAUGAACCAUUUUUCCCAUAAAUAAACAACCUUGAGAGGAUUGUGAGAAGUAGGGAUGAUUUGGAACUCAGAAACCAGAAAAGAGUGAGGCCAGAGGUGAAAUUGAAGAGAAAAAAGAGCUCUAAAAAGAGAAAAAUCUGAUCUGAAAAUGAGAAGAAAAAGUUUGGAAAAAAAGAAGAGAAAAUGAGAAAAAUAGAAAUAAAGAAGGAAAAGAAAGAAAUAAAAAAUAUAGAUUCUGGCCAAGUUAUGGGAAAUACCUGCAGUGAGUUUUAGAUUCUCCCUUCUUUCUUGCACCUCUCUCUAAUCCAUUACAGUUUCUACUUUUCCAUACAUCUAGCCUUUCCCUUCUCCAUUACAUUACAAGCCAUGCAAGUCCUAGUGAUCUAGAGUUACCAUGAUUCAAGCAGUGUCAACUAGAGUUUUUCCAAAGUUAAGAAUUGUGGUUCAUCAUGACAUGUGGAGUGAAACAGGCUGAUCUUAAACACUUGAGUGCUUUGAGUGCAAACACCUUAUCCUGUGAGGUUGAAAUCGGGCUGCUACUUUUCUGUAAAUGUUCUUUGCUUGUUUUGGUUGAAUCUAAUUGUUAUUUGCUUGUUAGGGUGCUGAAACUUGGAUUUCGAGUUGAUGAUUCUGAUUGUGCAGUGUUGAAUAGAGAAAAAUAGCUAGAGUUGGGUGAAUUGGCAGGGUUGAGUUGAUUGUGAUAGAGCCUAGUGUUCCUUGUUUUGUUUUGAGUCUUUUUCUUUGUAGUUGGAGUCUUUGUUUUUGUUUUUUCUUUUUAGUAUGUCCCUGCCCAGGAGGGCAGUUCUUUAAGUGUGGGGGUGUGAUAACUCUCUAAUUUUGCAUAUUUUUCUAGUGUUAGAAGUCUUUCUUAGCUUCUUUUAUUCUUUAAUUGUUUAGAAUUAGGUUAGUUUUAGAAU
rnacentral:lncRNA from 1 species